rnacentral:rRNA from 1 species
GUGAGGAAUUUUGCGCAAUGGGGGCAACCCUGACGCAGCGACGCCGCGUGGAGGACGAAGUCUUUCGGGAUGUAAACUCCUGUCAGUGGGGACGAUAAUGACGGUACCCACAGAGGAAGCACCGGCUAACUCCGUGCCAGCAGCCGCGGUAAGACGGAGGGUGCAAGCGUUGUUCGGAAUUACUGGGCGUAAAGCGUAUGUAGGCGGCAAGUUAAGUUCAAUGUUAAAGCCCACGGCUCAACCGAGGAGAUGCAUUGAAUACUGGCUAGCUAGAGGGUGUUAGAGGAAGACGGAAUUCCCAGUGUAGCGGUGAAAUGCGUAGAUAUUGGGAGGAACAUCGGUAGCGAAAGCGGUCUUCUGGGACAUACCUGACGCUGAGGUACGAAAGCGUGGGGGGCAAACGGGAUUAGAUACCCUGGUAGUCC